rnacentral:misc_RNA from 1 species
UUAGCUGCUAUUGAAGCUCCAUCUACAAAUGGAUAAGAUUUCGAUCUUUGUGUAUACGAGUUUUUGAAAAUAACGGAACAAUGCCGAUUCUCUUCCAAGAAGUUGGUAUUGCUCCGUUAUUUAUUAGGUUUUUUUCAAUUUUUUGAUUUUUUAUUUAGGCUUCAACAAAACAAAAAGUAUUUUUGUGGUUUUUGAUUUAGUAUCCUAUUAUCAUGUGCUAAUAAUUUAAUUUCCCUUUACUUAUUUUGGCUUUACAGUCAUAUUAUUGGUUUAGAGUCAAUUUAAUAUAAAAAAGUAUGGAAUU